rnacentral:snRNA from 1 species
CUUGUUCCAUACUUACCUGGACGGGGUCGACGGGUGAUCAAGAAGGCCCGUGGCCUAGGUUAGUAGCCCACAUUGCACUUGGUGGGUGCGCUGGCCUAUCAUCUCCCCAAGUGCGAGAGUGAACGUCAUAAUUUGUGGUAG